GAGUUUGAUUAUGACUCAGGAUGAACGCUGGCGGCGUGCCUAAUACAUGCAAGUCGAGCGAACGGACGAGAAGCUUGCUUCUCUGAUGUUAGCGGCGGACGGGUGAGUAACACGUGGAUAACCUACCUAUAAGACUGGGAUAACUUCGGGAAACCGGAGCUAAUACCGGAUGAUAUUUUGAACCGCAUGGUUCAAAAGUAGAAGAACGGUCUUGCUG
rnacentral:rRNA from 1 species